rnacentral:misc_RNA from 1 species
GAUGAAGAACGCAGCGAAAUGCGAUAAGUAAUGCGAAUUGCAGAAUUCAGUGAGUCAUCGAAUCUUUGAACGCACAUUGCGCCCGUCAGUAUUCUGGCGGGCAUGCCUGUUCGAGCGUCAUUACGCCCCCCAAGUCCCCUGUGGACUUGGUGUUGGGGAUCGGCGAGGCUGGUUUUCCAGCACAGCCGUCCCUUAAAUUAAUUGGCGGUCUCGCCGUGGCCCUCCUCUGCGCAGUAGUAAAACACUCGCAACAGGAGCCCGGCNCGGUCCACUGCCGUAAAACCCCCCAACUUUUUAUAGUUGACCUCGAAUCAGGUAGGACUACCCGCUGAACUUAAGCAUAUCAAUAAGCGGAGGA